CUAGCGACUUCAGAGUUUGAUCCUGGCUCAGGAUGAACGCUGGCGGCGUGCAUAACACAUUCAAGUCGAACGGAGUUAACGGAGAGCUUGCUUGAAGUUAACUUAGUGGCGGACGGGUGAGUAACGCGUGAGCAACCUGCCUUUGUGAGGGGGAGUAACGACCGGAAACAGUCGCUAAUACCGCAUGAAGCGACGAAACCGCAUGGUUUUGUUGCCAAAGAUUUAUCGCACAAAGAUGGGCUCGCGUCUGAUUAGAUAGUUGGCAGGGUAACAGCCUACCAAGUCGACGAUCAGUAGCCGGACUGAGAGGUUGAACGGCCACAUUGGAACUGAGAAACGGUCCAG
rnacentral:rRNA from 1 species